CCUACGGGCGGCUGCAGUGGGGAAUAUUGCACAAUGGGCGCAAGCCUGAUGCAGCCAUGCCGCGUGUGUGAAGAAGGCCUUCGGGUUGUAAAGCACUUUCAGCGGGGAGGAAGGCGGUGAGGUUAAUAACCUCAUCGAUUGACGUUACCCGCAGAAGAAGCACCGGCUAACUCCGUGCCGGCAGCCGCGGUAAUACGGAGGGUGCAAGCGUUAAUCGGAAUUACUGGGCGUAAAGCGCACGCAGGCGGUCUGUCAAGUCGGAUGUGAAAUCCCCGGGCUCAACCUGGGAACUGCAUUCGAAACUGGCAGGCUAGAGUCUUGUAGAGGGGGGUAGAAUUCCAGGUGUAGCGGUGAAAUGCGUAGAGAUCUGGAGGAAUACCGGUGGCGAAGGCGGCCCCCUGGACAAAGACUGACGCUCAGGUGCGAAAGCGUGGGGAGCAAACAGGAUUAGAUACCCUAGUAGUC
rnacentral:rRNA from 1 species